UGAGGAAUAUUGGUCAAUGGGCGGAAGCCUGAACCAGCCAAGUCGCGUGAGGGAUUAAGGCCCUGCGGGUCGUAAACCUCUUUUGCCGGGGAGCAGUGGUCCGGACGAGUCCGGGCCGGGAGAGUACCCGGAGAAAAAGCAUCGGCUAACUCCGUGCCAGCAGCCGCGGUAAUACGGAGGAUGCGAGCGUUAUCCGGAUUUAUUGGGUUUAAAGGGUGCGUAGGCGGGCAUUUAAGCCGGCGGUCAAAUGUCGGGGCUCAACCCCGGCCUGCCGUCGGAACUGGGUGCCUUGAGUGGGCGAGA
rnacentral:rRNA from 1 species